CUAAUACAUGCAAGUCGAGCGAACGGACGAGAAGCUUGCUUCUCUGAUGUUAGCGGCGGACGGGUGAGUAACACGUGGAUAACCUACCUAUAAGACUGGGAUAACUUCGGGAAACCGGAGCUAAUACCGGAUAAUAUUUUGAACCGCAUGGUUCAAAAGUGAAAGACGGUCUUGCUGUCACUUAUAGAUGGAUCCGCGCUGCAUUAGCUAGUUGGUAAGGUAACGGCUUACCAAGGCAACGAUGCAUAGCCGACCUGAGAGGGUGAUCGGCCACACUGGAACUGAGACACGGUCCAGACUCCUACGGGAGGCAGCAGUAGGGAAUCUUCCGCAAUGGGCGAAAGCCUGACGGAGCAACGCCGCGUGAGUGAUGAAGGUCUUCGGAUCGUAAAACUCUGUUAUUAGGGAAGAACAUAUGUGUAAGUAACUGUGCACAUCUUGACGGUACCUAAUCAGAAAGCCACGGCUAACUACGUGCCAGCAGCCGCGGUAAUACGUAGGUGGCAAGCGUUAUCCGGAAUUAUUGGGCGUAAAGCGCGCGUAGGCGGUUUUUUAAGUCUGAUGUGAAAGCCCACGGCUCAACCGUGGAGGGUCAUUGGAAACUGGAAAACUUGAGUGCAGAAGAGGAAAGUGGAAUUCCAUGUGUAGCGGUGAAAUGCGCAGAGAUAUGGAGGAACACCAGUGGCGAAGGCGACUUUCUGGUCUGUAACUGACGCUGAUGUGCGAAAGCGUGGGGAUCAAACAGGAUUAGAUACCCUGGUAGUCCACGCCGUAAACGAUGAGUGCUAAGUGUUAGGGGGUUUCCGCCCCUUAGUGCUGCAGCUAACGCAUUAAGCACUCCGCCUGGGGAGUACGACCGCAAGGUUGAAACUCAAAGGAAUUGACGGGGACCCGCACAAGCGGUGGAGCAUGUGGUUUAAUUCGAAGCAACGCGAAGAACCUUACCAAAUCUUGACAUCCUUUGACAACUCUAGAGAUAGAGCCUUCCCCUUCGGGGGACAAAGUGACAGGUGGUGCAUGGUUGUCGUCAGCUCGUGUCGUGAGAUGUUGGGUUAAGUCCCGCAACGAGCGCAACCCUUAAGCUUAGUUGCCAUCAUUAAGUUGGGCACUCUAAGUUGACUGCCGGUGACAAACCGGAGGAAGGUGGGGAUGACGUCAAAUCAUCAUGCCCCUUAUGAUUUGGGCUACACACGUGCUACAAUGGACAAUACAAAGGGCAGCGAAACCGCGAGGUCAAGCAAAUCCCAUAAAGUUGUUCUCAGUUCGGAUUGUAGUCUGCAACUCGACUACAUGAAGCUGGAAUCGCUAGUAAUCGUAGAUCAGCAUGCUACGGUGAAUACGUUCCCGGGUCUUGUACACACCGCCCGUCACACCACGAGAGUUUGUAACACCCGAAGCCGGUGGAGUAACCUUUUAGGAGCUAGCCGUCGAAGGUGGGACAAAUGAUUGGGGUGAAGUCGUAACAAGGUAGCCGUAUCGGAAGGUGCGGCUG
rnacentral:rRNA from 1 species